GCUGAGGCAAAGAGAGUGUCUGUGAGCCAAGUUCACCGGUGCUGGGUUUUAAGGAAAAGAGUCACGAGUGACAUGUGGAGGAGUCCCAGAGACUUAGUGAUUACAGGUUCAUUCCAGCUCAGUGGCAAAAUAUAAAUUGGUAACAUGAUGACACAUGGUGUGUGGUGAGAGCGACACGUGAAGGAUGACAUGGCACCAUGUUGUGCGAGGUGGUAACAUGAUGACACAUGGUGUGUGGUGAGAGCGACACGUGAAGGAUGACAUGGCACCAUGUUGUGCGAGGUGGGGCCCUAUAUGGAGGGUGACAUGGCGCCACAUGGAUGGUAAUGUGGUGCCAUUUGUGUAAGUGAACCAACAUUACUUUUCAGUAAUGACAAAAAAGUUGCCGCUAAUUGGUAGCUUUCGCAGUGACAGAUGUCCCCACUGAUACUUAACAUUUAGUGGUGACAAAAUAGUCACUGCUAAUGGGUGGUUUUUGCGGUGACAUAUGUUACCACUGAUACUUAACAUUUAGUGGUGACAAAAUAGUCACUACUGAUGUGUGGUUUUUGCGGCAACAAAAUGUCGCCGUCGAUUUUCAACUUUUAGUGGCUAUUAUCAUUUGGCUGCGACAAAUUUUCUUUUCUGCGGUGACAUUUGUCGUUGCCAAUUCUUAACUUUCAGCAACAACUUUUAUUGUUGCCGCAGAUUGAAUUAGUGAUAAGAGCUCUCGCGGCGACAUUGUGACGAUUUUUUGUCGCUGCUGAAAACUUUCAAUUUUUUUGUAGUGGAUCUUUGUUAAA